rnacentral:rRNA from 1 species
UCCGUAGGUGAACCUGCGGAAGGAUCAUUAAUGAGUUAGGGUCUUCUGGGCUCGAUCUCCAACCCUUUGUCUACCAUACCUCUUGUUGCUUCGGCGGGCCCGUCCCCCUAGAAAUAGGGAUCGAUCGUCGGAGGGUUAAUCGCCCUCUGGCCCGCGCCCGCCGACGGCCCCCAUUACAACAUUUUAUUAAACCAUGAAUUGCCUGAGAAAAUAAACAAAUAAACCAAAAACUUUCAACAACGGAUCUCUUGGUUCUGGCAUCGAUGAAGAACGCAGCGAAAUGCGAUAAGUAAUGCGAAUUGCAGAAUCCGUGAGUCAUCGAAUCUUUGAACGCACAUUGCGCCCCCUGGUUAUUCCGAGGGGCAUGCCUGUUCGAGCGUCAUUAUCACCCCUCAAGCCCCGGCUUGAUGUUGGACUUAGUCACAGCCCUCGGGCGGUCGACUGGUCUCAAAGAUAGUGACGGCGCCUCAGAGGGAACCGGCACGAGGAGCUUUUAGUUAAGCAUGUGCCCGGGAAGACUCUGCUUGGGUGACGGUCUCAUUAUACAUUUUUUCAAGGUGGUUGGACCUCCGGGGGAUCAGGGUAGGGAAUACCCGGCUGGAACUUAAGGCAUAUCAAUAAGGCGGGGAGGGGAAGGGUCGGACUG